GUUGAACGCUGGCGGCAGGCUUAACACAUGCAAGUCGAGCGGGGUGAUGGUGCUUGCACUAUCACUUAGCGGCGGACGGGUGAGUAAUGCUUAGGAAUCUGCCUAUUAGUGGGGGACAACAUCUCGAAAGGGAUGCUAAUACCGCAUACGUCCUACGGGAGAAAGCAGGGGAUCACCUGUGACCUUGCGCUAAUAGAUGAGCCUAAGUCGGAUUAGCUAGUUGGUGGGGUAAAGGCCUACCAAGGCGACGAUCUGUAGCGGGUCUGAGAGGAUGAUCCGCCACACUGGGACUGAGACACGGCCCAGACUCCUACGGGAGGCAGCAGUGGGGAAUAUUGGACAAUGGGGGGAACCCUGAUCCAGCCAUGCCGCGUGUGUGAAGAAGGCCUUAUGGUUGUAAAGCACUUUAAGCGAGGAGGAGGCUCUUUUGGUUAAUACCCAAGAUGAGUGGACGUUACUCGCAGAAUAAGCACCGGCUAACUCUGUGCCAGCAGCCGCGGUAA
rnacentral:rRNA from 1 species